CAUAUAAAACGAAACUUAUUUAUUAACUCUUUUUUUAUCAUAAAAACUUGAGAAUUUUUUUUUUUUUGUUACGUCAGUGUAAGGCAAAUAUAGAUAAAUAACUCAAUCAUAAUUAAAGGCAACCGUGUGUACAUUUAUAUGAGAUAUAAUUAGUUUAAGGUUGAACAACGAUUUUGUAGAUGGAAAAAGUUAAUUUAAUCAAUACCGAGUAUAAUUCAGGCGAAGAAAAAGGUAGGUGUGGGCCUUUUCAUACAACAAAGAAAUAAAAAAUCUUAAUUAAAUAAACAAACUGUAGCCAAAAUACGUUCCGUUAUUUGUAUAAUUAUUUGCCAUAAUCAGAAAAUGCAACUAUACUAUACUUAGACUAACUUUGUGAUAAACGAAUAUUUUAUGACGUGAUGGUGAUGUUUGACAACAUUGUUGUGACCGGAAUACUAAGUUUAAUUUAAACAGACACGAAGACGGCGUACUGUAUAGGCAAAAUAUUGUACGUUGCAGAUCGACGAAACAAGUAACGAUUGUUUAGAGGACGCCCGAAAAUCCCUCUCACUUUAUGGUAAUUAAUCGAUUUUGAAACCGUAACACAAUAAGGCAGAUUAUUAUAAUGAAUAUUAUUCUAAUUCUCAAAAGUACCGAAGAAAUUAUUUCAUUGAAAAAUAAAUUUGACGAUGGGAUGCGUUAAACUACUUUGUGGUUGGUUAUUUUUUUGUGUAAUAUUUU